rnacentral:rRNA from 1 species
AGAGUUUGAUCCUGGCUCAGAACGAACGCUGGCGGCAGGCUUCAUACAUGCAAGUCGAGCGAUUAAAGCCCCUUCGGGGGUGUAUAAAGCGGCGAACGGGUGAGUAACAGGUGGAUAAUCUGCCUCCCGGUGGGGGACAACGGCUGGAAACGGCCGCUAAUACCGCAUUCGGUUGUUCCGUCCUCGGAUGGAACAAAGAAAGGCGCUUUCGGGCGUCGCCGGGAGAUGAGUCCGCCCCCCAUUAGCUUGUUGGUGAGGUAACGGCUCACCAAGGCUUCGAUGGGUAGCCGAGCUGAGAGGUUGAUCGGCCACACUGGAACUGAGACACGGUCCAGACACCUACGGGUGGCAGCAGUAGGGAAUAUUGCGCAAUGGGCGAAAGCCUGACGCAGCCAUGCCGCGUGGAUGAUGAAGGCCUUCGGGUCGUAAAGUCCUUUUCUAAGGGAAGAACGGCUUGGGGAGGUAAUGCCCUGAGAUUGACGGUACCUUAGGAAUAAGCAACGGCUAACUCCGUGCCAGCAGCCGCGGUAAUACGGAGGUUGCGAGCGUUGUUCGGAUUAACUGGGCGUAAAGGGAGCGCAGGCGGCUUGGUCAGUCCAAAGUGAAAUCCCACGGCUCAACCGUGGACGUGCUUCGGAUACUGCCAAAC